UACGUAGGGUGCGAGCGUUAAUCGGAAUUACUGGGCGUAAAGCGUGCGCAGGCGGUUCGCUGUGUCCGAUGUGAAAGCCCCGGGCUUAACCUGGGAAUGGCAUUGGAAACUGGCGGGCUUGAGUGCGGCAGAGGGGGGUGGAAUUCCGCGUGUAGCAGUGAAAUGCGUAGAGAUGCGGAGGAACACCGAUGGCGAAGGCAGCCCCCUGGGUCGACACUGACGCUCAGGCACGGAAAGCGUGGGGAGCAAACGGG
rnacentral:rRNA from 1 species